CCCGCAUUCGAAACGGCGUCCUCCGUAGAAAAAUCACGCGACGAAUUAUAAAAGUUUUGCAGCAUAUUCUUCUGGAAUUAACUGAUCUAAGUUAAGGACUCUUCGAGUCCAACUGUGCGAUAUUUACAUUGAAGAAACUCGCCUGCCC